UACGUAGGGCGCAAGCGUUGUCCGGAAUUAUUGGGCGUAAAGAGCUCGUAGGCGGCUUGUCGCGUCUGCUGUGAAAGCCCGGGGCUUAACUCCGGGUGUGCAGUGGGUACGGGCAGGCUAGAGUGCAGUAGGGGUAACUGGAAUUCCUGGUGUAGCGGUGAAAUGCGCAGAUAUCAGGAGGAACACCGAUGGCGAAGGCAGGUUACUGGGCUGUUACUGACGCUGAGGAGCGAAAGCAUGGGGAGCGAACAGGAUUAGAUACCCGUGUAGUCC
rnacentral:rRNA from 1 species